GUGUUCUCCCGGAAGUACGUCGUGUGCAGCCAGCAAGCCACGAGGAGAGGGUGAAUUUACGAAGGAGUUGUGUCUAUAUAUUAUAUAAAAUCUACUAUUGGUUGAAGAUCAACACAAACCAAAUGAAGAUGUUGUAGAUUCUACAAAUAAAAAAGAAGGUGAUGGCACACAUCAUGACAGUAAACAUCGGUAUCAAGAUGGUGUGAUUGAUCUAUACCCUAGAAUAAGCUGUGACACUGAUGCUGUGGUCACAUAAUGAACAGCCAUCUUACAGACAACCGAAAGAGGCAUAGUAUUGUUUUCUUGUGUAUUGUCAUACACCUAAAGCGGAUUUUUUGUAAUUGUACAGUUAUGGUGUUAUUCAUUCAUUAAUGUGUCCUUUCUUACCUUAAAUAACUUAUCAUUUUUUACACCUUUUGUUUUUAUUGUCUAUAUAGUAUUGUCUACAUUCCCAAAUUCUGGAUUGACGAUCCAGUACCAGUGGGCACCCCAAUCCCAGAGAGCAUCCAUCUGAAACCAGGUGAGGUAACACAACGAAAAAAUUACCGGAUGGAGACUACCUGAUUCUUCACCUAUGGCCUUAGCUUCAAAUGCAAGAAGUCCAGCAACUGUCUGAGUUGGUGGAUAUUCUGUCAGAGACUCCGUGGACAACGUUAUGAAUAGGUUAUUUGUCUAAGGUGAAGUAAUCUUACAGUUCUUUCACAGAAUGAUGUGAAAUUGUCUUAUGGCAAAGUUCAAUAUGAAGGGUGGUGGACAUCAGGAAAAGAAGUCUUUUAAAGGCACACCUUUGUAUUAUGUUAUUUAAGAUGCUGUGAAGAGGUGGAGCCCAAAUGCCACCGAAUCGGAAAUAGAUGCAGCUAUGGCAGACCACCUCAAGCACGCUCCUGGAAGAGCUGGGGGUGGUGGAUACAAAAAAGCCUAACAGCUGUGAUGUGUUAAAGAGAGAGUUCACCAAAAAAGGAAAAUUGUUAUAAUUUUCUUAUCCACAUGUUUCAAACCUGUAUACCUUUCUAUUUUCUGCUGAACACAAAGAUUGAAGAAUGUUUGUAACUUCACAACCCAUUAACUGUCAAUAUUUUUUUUUUUACAAUUGUAGUAAUGGGUUGUGAGAUCUGCUUUGAUAAAAACAUUCUUUCAAAUAUCUUUGUGUUCAGCAGAACAUAGAAAGGUAUACAGGUUUGAAACAUGAGAUGGAAUAAAUGACUAAAUAUUAAUUUUUGGGUGAACUAUCCCUUUAUAGAAAGUGUUUUGAAAUUGUUAUUAUAGUUAAAUGGUUAAAAAAUAAAAAGUGCUAAAUCAGAACAUGCUUCUUUUUUGGUUAUGGCGACAAAUAAUGUGUUCUUUAAUGUGUUUGUGAAGUACACGUGGUUAAAACGUUUUAUGGACGUUCAGGUCUGACUGGACCAAUUUUGAACCGAUUUUGAACCUUUGUGAAUAUGUGUUAAACCUCAAUACAAUUGAUUGCCUUUCACGAUGUUACACAGUGGGUGUAUAUUCAUUUUAUAUGCAUACAUUUAAACAAUGCAGCAACACAUUUAAACAUCCAGAAGACGGCACAUUUAGACGUCCAGGGACGGGCAGAAAAGACGUGUAAUUCACGGCCAAAUGACGUCAAAGACGUGCGCUCAACUUUAAUUUAGGGUAUUUUUCAACCGUGAUGGGACGUGACGAAGGGACGUCUUUUCAACGGUCAUAAAACGUCCAAAUGUUUGCUAAUGGGGGCUUAAAACAUAUUUAAACUAUGCAGGAACACAUUUAAACAUCCAAAAGACGGCGCAUUUAGACGUCCAGGGACGUGCAGAAUAGACGUGUAAUUCACGGCCAGAUGACGUCAAAGACGUCGGCUCAACUUUCAUUUUGGAUAUAUUUUUCAACGCGGA